UCCGGUUUGUCACCGGCAGUCUCCCUAAAGUGCCCAACUAAAUGAUGGCAACUAGGGACAAGGGUUGCGCUCGUUACGGGACUUAACCCAACAUCUCACGACACGAGCUGACGACAGCCAUGCAGCACCUGUCUCUGCGCUCCCGAAGGCACCAAGGUAUCUCUACCAAGUUCGCAGGAUGUCAAGACCAGGUAAGGUUCUUCGCGUUGCGUCGAAUUAAACCACAUGCUCCACCGCUUGUGCGGGCCCCCGUCAAUUCAUUUGAGUUUUAAUCUUGCGACCGUACUCCCCAGGCGGUCAACUUAGCGCGUUAGCUACGCCACUAAAAGGUUUACCCUUCCAACGGCUAGUUGACAUCGUUUACAGCGUGGACUAC
rnacentral:misc_RNA from 1 species